GAUAACAUGGAGGAGGGGGGGAACCUAGGAGAUAACAUGGAGGAGGGGGGGGAACCUAGGAGAUAACAUGGAGGAGGGGGGAACCUAGGAGAUAACAUGGAGGAGGGGGGAACCUAGGAGAUAACAUGGAGAGGGAUGGGGGGAUAAAGUGCAUAUGUCAUACACAUUUUUGGCAAAGCUUUCAUGUACAGUACAAAUGUUUGUGUAUGCGAGGGAGAGAGAGUGUGUGUGUGUGUGUGUGUGUGUGUGUGUGUGUGUGUGUGUGUGUGUGUGUGUGUGCGUGAGCGUGUGCGCGUGCGCGUGCGCGUGCGUGUGUGUGUUUUAGGGGGGUAACUCUUUGAAGGACUCGUUCUGUUUUAUUAAAGGGGAGGUUUCAGAGACCUACAUCCUGUCAAUAUAUUAAAGGGGAGGUUUCAGAGACCUGUUAUCACCAUUCUAAAGACUACUUCCUGUCAAUAUAUUAAAGGGGAGGUUUCAGAGACCUACAUCCUGUCAAUAUAUUAAAGGGGAGGUUUCAGAGACCUGUUAUCAUCAUUCUAAAGACUACAUCCUGUCAAUAUAUUAAAGGGGAGGUUUCAGAGACCUACAUCCUGUCAAUAUAUUAAAGGGGAGGUUUCAGAGACCUGUUAUCAUCAUUCUAAAGACUACAUCCUGUCAAUAUAUUAAAGGGGAGGUUUCAGAGACCUACAUCCUGUCAAUAUAUUAAAGGGGAGGUUUCAGAGACCUGUUAUCACCAUUCUAAAGACUACUUCCUGUCAAUAUAUUAAAGGGGAGGUUUCAGAGACCUACAUCCUGUCAAUAUAUUAAAGGGGAGGUUUCAGAGACCUGUUAUCAUCAUUCUAAAGACUACAUCCUGUCAAUAUAUUAAAGGGGAGGUUUCAGAGACCUACAUCCUGUCAAUAUAUUAAAGGGGAGGUUUCAGAGACCUGUUAUCAUCAUUCUAAAGACUACAUCCUGUCAAUAUAUUAAAGGGGAGGUUUCAGAGACCUACAUCCUGUCAAUAUAUUAAAGGGGAGGUUUCAGAGACCUGUUAUCACCAUUCUAAAGACUACGUCCUGUCAAUAUAUUAAAGGGGAGGUUUCAGAGACCUACGUCCUGUCAAUAUAUUAAAGGAGAGGUUUCAUUAUAAUACCACCAAAUAAAUCGGGCCUUGAAUUUCCUCAA